rnacentral:rRNA from 1 species
UACGAGCGUAUGCAAGCGUUAUCCGGAAUUAUUGGGCGUAAAGCGUUUGUAGGCGGGCGAGUGUGUUUAAUGUUAAAUCUUAAAGCUCAACUUUGAAAUUGCGUUAAAAACUGCUUGUCUUGAGUAUGGUAGGGGUAAAGGGAAUUCCCAGUGUAGCGGUGAAACGCGUAGAUAUUGGGAAGAACACUAAACAGCGAAGGCACUUUACUAGGCUAAUACUGACGCCGAGAAACGAAAGGUAAGGUAGCGAAACGGAUUAGAUACCCGUGUAGUCUUACCCGUAAACUAUGGACACUAAACGGUAAAUUUUUAAUUUACUGUUAAAGCUAACGCGUUAAGUGUCCCGCCUGGGGAGUAUGCUUGCAAAAGUGAAACUCAAAGGAAUUGACGGGGGCCCGCACAAGCGGUGGAGCAUGUGGUUUAAUUCGACGGUACACGAAGAACCUUACCAGGAUUUGACAUGCUAGGUAGUUGCUUGAAAGAGUAACGUGCCGUAAGGAAUCUAGACACAGGUGGUGCAUGGCUGUCGUCAGUUCGUGUUGUGAAAUGUUGGGUUAAGUCCCGCAACGAACGCAACCCUUGUCUUUAGUUAUUUUCUAAAGAGACUGCCUGUAAUAAACAGGAGGAAGGUAAGGAUGAGGUCAAGUCAUCAUGCCCCUUAUGUCCUGGGCUACACACGUGCUACAAUGGGAAAGACAAUGAGCUGCAAAUCUGUAAAUUUAAGCAAAUCUCUUAAACUUUCUCGUAGUUCGGAUUGUGGGCUGCAACUCGCCCACAUGAAGUUGGAAUCGCUAGUAAUCGCCAGUCAGCUAUAUGGCGGUGAAUCCGUUCCCGGGCCU